rnacentral:rRNA from 1 species
CGGACGGGUGAGUAAUGCCUAGGAAUCUGCCUGGUAGUGGGGGACAACGUUUCGAAAGGAACGCUAAUACCGCAUACGUCCUACGGGAGAAAGCAGGGGACCUUCGGGCCUUGCGCUAUCAGAUGAGCCUAGGUCGGAUUAGCUAGUUGGUGAGGUAAUGGCUCACCAAGGCGACGAUCCGUAGCUGGUCUGAGAGGAUGAUCAGCCACACUGGAACUGAGACACGGUCCAGACUCCUACGGGAGGCAGCAGCG